AAGAAGAUAUCCUAAAGCAUAGGCAAGUGCAACUGUAUGUGUACCGUAAGGUACAACUAGCUGAUCAUAUCCACCAACCAAGUGACAGCGCUAUCUAUAUAGUGAGACGUAACAAUAAGAUAUCCUCCACGAAAGCAGCCACUGUGAUGCCAAUCAAAUUGUUUUCUACAUACGAGAGAGAGAGGCGGAGGGAGAUUUGAAAUGAGUAUAUAUAGAUGGAGCAAGGCGCUGAUACAUUUAGACACAAGUAAGAUAUUGUUGCACAUGCAUGCAUGAUCAAAGUGGAGCUUGCAUCAGCGUGCACGGAAGCUAAGCGAACAAAGUUGUGGCAAGCGCAGAUGAGCAGUGCCCCGUCCCACAGUAUUAAAUGCUACGGAUUGAGAUUUUGCGGACCAACUUAGCGCCGUGCAACAGAUGAGACAAGUUUGGCAGGGUCAACAGGGCAAUAGGGGUACCUGCACCAUUCGUUGUAAUAGCCUGUGGAUGGAAGGUUUAACUAGGUAUGAGGUUACUGCUUUUGGGCUCAUUUGUAAGUUCUUCUUCUAUCUAGUCUAGUAUAUAACGUGAGAGGAUCUCAUCUGUAACCGGUUGACAAACACUCAUAAUAAAAUACACAAGGCGUAUAGUUAUUA